rnacentral:rRNA from 1 species
AGAGUUUGAUCAUGGCUCAGAGUGAACGCUGGCGGUAGGCCUAACACAUGCAAGUCGAACGGCAGCACAGAGGAGCUUGCUCCUUGGGUGGCGAGUGGCGGACGGGUGAGGAAUACAUCGGAAUCUACUCUGUCGUGGGGGAUAACGUAGGGAAACUUACGCUAAUACCGCAUACGACCUACGGGUGAAAGCAGGGGAUCUUCGGACCUUGCGCGAUUGAAUGAGCCGAUGUCGGAUUAGCUAGUUGGCGGGGUAAAGGCCCACCAAGGCGACGAUCCGUAGCUGGUCUGAGAGGAUGAUCAGCCACACUGGAACUGAGACACGGUCCAGACUCCUACGGGAGGCAGCAGUGGGGAAUAUUGGACAAUGGGCGCAAGCCUGAUCCAGCCAUACCGCGUGAGGGACGACGGCCUUCGGGUUGUAAACCUCUUUUAGCAGGGAAGAAGCGCAAGUGACGGUACCUGCAGAAAAAGCACCGGCUAACUACGUGCCAGCAGCCGCGGUAAUACGUAGGGUGCAAGCGUUGUCCGGAAUUAUUGGGCGUAAAGAGCUCGUAGGCGGUUUGUCGCGUCUGCUGUGAAAACCCGAGGCUCAACCUCGGGCCUGCAGUGGGUACGGGCAGACUAGAGUGCGGUAGGGGAGAUUGGAAUUCCUGGUGUAGCGGUGGGAUGCGCAGAUAUCAGGAGGAACACCGAUGGCGAAGGCAGAUCUCUGGGCCGUAACUGACGCUGAGGAGCGAAAGCGUGGGGAGCGAGCAGGAUUAGAUACCCCGGUAGUCCAA